UGGGAACACUCAGGUAUCGUAAGAYGCAAGAGUUCGAAUCUCUUCGCAACC
rnacentral:tRNA from 1 species